ACUCACACAUCUGUGAUCGCACCUGGUGAGGCAGGGUGAAGAGGAUGAAGCACAGAGAGGUUAACUACCCUGCCCGGGGCCACACAGCCACGAGGAGCUGAGCAGAGAGAAUCCUGGAAUUCUGGAGGGUUCCCCCAGCUGGGGGGCGGAAGGGUGAACAUUGUCAAGGUGAUCUGAGACGGCACACUACUGACAGAAGGCUCUGCAAAAUCUUCUUCACACGCCCAGCUGCCAAACGUGUUCCUGCUGCCAGGAAGCCUGACAUUAAAGUCAAGUCCUCCCCCACCACACCCCCAACAAGGAUGCUCAGCUCGUGAUGAUUAAGGGACAGACGCGGACACCCUUGGCUGCUGACCUGUGCUGACAGCAGAGAGGAAGAGGUAGAGGUGGCCUGGGCAGCAGUGAGGUGGCUGGAGGCUUUACUGUCACUUGUGUGUCACUUGUGCGCACGACUGAGCGCUAUGGACCCGUCCCUGGCACGUGGGGCAGGCAGAGGGGUACACAGGUCAUUCCACCUCCAUGUGAGCGCCCGGGUCUCUGGAAGCACAGAGAAGCUCCCUGACUUGACUACGAGCCCACGACAGACCAGGAGGCUGACCUCCUCCCUCGUCUUCCCAAAGAUCUCCAUUGGCAAAAGCCCUCUCCUCACUCGACCUCACACACGAGGAAACAGAGGCCAGGGGGCCUUGCUGACUCGUCCAAGGUCACGCACAGGAUGGUCGCUACUAUUCACAUUUUACGAGUGAGGCAAAUGGCUCCGAGAGGCCAAGUGGCCGCCCCCGGAUCACAGAGCAAGCAAGUGGGGCACCUGGCCUAGAGCCAGGGCUGCGGCUCCUGUAUUCUCCUCACCUUUUAUCACUCCUAUCCUGACGCCUCACUUCCUCUGGCUGGUCUGGGUGAGAGCCCCAGAGUGUUCUGUGGCCCAGGAGCGCCCCGGUGGGCCCGUUCGGGCUCCCCCCGGCUGAGCUGUUCCUCGAACAUCCCCAGCGCACGGCGAACUUUCCCAUCAGGCAGAACAGGCGUGGCGCCCAGGGCCCACGGAAAUGUUUUCGUUUUCAUCCUUUUAA